CCGGCGGGAGCGGCGCGGAGGCGGCGGGAGGCGGCGGCGGGGCCCCGCUCCAGCAGGCGGCUUUGUCAACCAGAAGCCCACCAAGCCCAGAGAACAACAACCUUGACCAGCAGUGCCCAGAAGGCAGCAAGAAGCCAUUGGGGCAGCCCACGAUUCUGUAUGAUUACUCGGAGGAGGAGCUGAUGGCCAGCAUCGAGCGGGAGUACUGCCGCUGAGCCCCACGGAACGGCAGGCACAGCCUGGGGCCAGGCUGAGCACAGGUCUUGCGACACCACAGCUGCACCGGAGAGCGGGCUCUGGAGGGGACUGGAGCAUCAGGGGCUGCUUGGGAAGCACUGAGGAGAAAGUUCACCUGAUCAGCUCCUAGUGAGAGCAGGAAGAUCCUCACCAGCUGCUGAUUGGUGCCACUGCAAGAGGGACCAAUUCAUCUUAAGAAUUGAUAUUUAGAAGCUCAUUUCUAAAUGCUGUUUUUAAAUGAACGUGUGCUAGAAUUAAUGUCAUCCUAGAGGUGUUGAAAUGUGGUGCUUUGAAGGAAGAUCCUGCUUUGAACCUAGUAAAAAAUUGCAGCAAUAUCAUCCGAUUCAGAACUUAAGGAGAUGUUGAAGGAAAUUCAUGUUUUUUGCCACUUAAAAUGUGCCAAAUUGCACUUGUGCAAGCCUCAGGUUCAGGUCUGAGUUUGGUACUGUCUCUUUCAAUCUGGUCCCCAGUAUGGGAGAUAAGAGGAAAAGGGGAUUGAGCCCACCAUCUAGUGCAUAGGCAGUGUAAUCCCAGAGUUCAAAUCCCACCAUACUGCCAAAUGAGGCUCCUGGCGGCCAUCAGGGAACACAGAAUUUGGAUGAUCCCUUUGGAGCAGGGCCCCAGUAUGUGUCCUACCUGGGUGUGGAUCCAUCCCAGUGAUGGGAGUGAAAGCAGGAGGCACAUCCCCAUUUCAGUCAUCCUCCUCAAGGGGUACUUGCAUGCUCUUGUAGAGCAGCUGUUUGGGAUCAGUUUUCAGAAUUGCUGUUCCUGGCCCUUCCCUAAUAUUUCUUGUCCUACGAGAAAAAUCACUGCAUUUUACCAUUAGCGGACUGCAAAGUAAACCAGAAAGUUCUCUCUCCUAAGGAAGUAGUAUUUUCAAUGCUCCCAGGCAGGGAAGCCUGGUAUUUUGGGUUUCUGCUUUUAUUAUAUCUGCAUGUUAACAUAUUAUGAGUAUCUGCUUAUUAUCAGAAGUAGAAAAUUACUUUAUUUCUGUCUUCUGCUGAAGCAUAAAAGGCAUCAGAUGAAAUUUUCAUUACGUGUAAAUGCAAGAAAAAACUGCAGGACACCUCUUAAGAUGCUGUAUUUUAAGUACUUCAUGAUUUCUGAGACCUGUGAAACACAAAU